UACGGGGGGGCAAGCGUUGUUCGGAAUUACUGGGCGUAAAGGGCUCGUAGGUGGCCAACUAAGUCAGACGUGAAAUCCCUCGGCUUAACCGGGGAACUGCGUCUGAUACUGGAUGGCUUGAGUUCGGGAGAGGGAUGCGGAAUUCCAGGUGUAGCGGUGAAAUGCGUAGAUAUCUGGAAGAACACCAAAGGCGAAGGCAGCGUUCUGGGAAGCAACUGACGCUCAUGUGCGAAAGCUAGGGGAGCGAACGGG
rnacentral:rRNA from 1 species